rnacentral:rRNA from 1 species
GACGAACGCUGGCGGCGUGCUUAACACAUGCAAGUCGAACGGAAAGGCCCUGCUUUUGUGGGGUGCUCGAGUGGCGAACGGGUGAGUAACACGUGAGUAACCUGCCCUUGACUUUGGGAUAACUUCAGGAAACUGGGGCUAAUACCGGAUAGGAGCCCCUGCUGCAUGGUGGGGGUUGGAAAGUUUCGGCGGUUGGGGAUGGACUCGCGGCUUAUCAGCUUGUUGGUGGGGUAGUGGCUUACCAAGGCCUUGACGGGUAGCCGGCCUGAGAGGGUGACCGGCCACAUUGGGACUGAGAUACGGCCCAGACUCCUACGGGAGGCAGCAGUGGGGAAUAUUGCACAAUGGGCGGAAGCCUGAUGCAGCAACGCCGCGUGCGGGAUGACGGCCUUCGGGUUGUAAACCGCUUUCGCCUGUGACGAAGCGAGAGUGACGGUAAUUGGUGAAGAAGCACCGGCUAACUACGUG